GGGGGUAUAGUUCAGUAGUAGAGCAUGCGACUGCAGAUUGAGAGGUCUCUGGUUCAAACCCGGAUGCUCCCU